GGGGUGGAGAGGUAGGCCCCUGCCUCAGUUGACCCCCUAAUGCUGCAGGGAGUCUGCAGUUGCUCCUUCCUCUCCUUGGGUCCAGAAUGGACUGGAUGGAGCUCAGUGAAUCUGCUUCUAAUUUCCAGAAUUUCAAUCCGGUGUGGUCACCGCCAGCUGCUGUGGUUGCAGACUGCAAAUCUAGGAGAUGUGUACUUAGUGUGCCCACAAGGCAUCAGUAUGAGCCUUCCGUAAACUGCUAUUCCGUUCCUGUGCUGCCUCGUUCCCU
rnacentral:lncRNA from 1 species